AUAUACUUAAUGUGUGAUACAUGAUUUGGUUUUAUUCAGGGUACAAGUAAUGCGUUAAGUGAGUCCAGCUCGACAUCAUCAGGGAGUGUUGACGUUAAGGAUAGAAGGGCUGUGAGUGACGCUGCUCAAAUAGAAAUUGGUAAAAAGCUAACCAAACGAAACCCUCAGCUAGGAGGAUCUGCAUCUUCCUUGACAAAAGACAAGGCUGGAAAAGGUUCCACAGUGGUAAGAAGGUCUAGUCUUCCAGGCAGCGGACUGUCUAAUCGCAAGUCUUCCAGGUCCGCCACAGUUAAAACACCACAAAUAUUGAUUGGACUGGAUUCUCCAGUCACUGGGGACAAACAAAGUGGUUCUUCACCUGCUCAGAAAAUGACCAAAGUCACAGACGGUGUUGCUUCAUUACAGGUUUCAGCCGGCGGUGAUGGGAAACCCCCGAAACCACCAAAGAAGACUCAGUUUGCUUCCUCAUUUAAUGAACUGAAGCAGGUGCACAGAAGUACUCGGACAAACAGCUCAAGAAACGGCACCUCUGAAGGAAGACACGUGGCACAGUAAGGGCAAGGAGACAGAACGACGGAGACGCGGCAGGCUGGGGACUAGGGAGGAAAACAUGAAGAGACUCAGAAGAGUUCCUAAAAUCCCUACUCCGUCCUAUAAGAGCGGGGAAGAGAGAGCCCUGGAACUUACCAGCUAAAAGGAUUAGGGAUGACACUGAUACUGAAAAGGAGGAGAGGCCAGUUGAUCAAACGUCUUGAUAAUCUUCUACUGAGAUCUCCCUUCUAGAGAAAUGCGAAAAAAUUCGAAUGCAUGAUUAACUUAUUGGUGCAGUUGGUCAUGGAUACAUUUUCUUCUUAUGCAUGGGUUUUGUGUUUGUGGCCCAUUAAUUUUCAGACAAACUAUAACAAAUAUUGAUCCGGGACUUGAAUACUCCUGCGCAGUGAUUUUAAUAGAUUUUCAUUUUGGGUUUAUAGUCCACAUUGGUUAUGAAGUUACAAAAAAUACAAAUUAUUGAUCAGCAGCAAGUUAUUGUGAUUGAACAUCCAUAGUCAAAGUAUAUUUAUAGAUAGCUGACAGUCUUUACCGAAUAAGAUUUUUAAUCUUUAGUUUUGUACAAAGAAAAAAAGAGAUUUAAGUCAAAGAGAUGAUUUAUUUAUUAAGAUCGGAUUUAUUACUGUUGACGAAAAAUAGCAGUGAUUUUAAUUUUCAUUCAAGUAGAUGCGCUAUUUUCAUUGGUUGUAAAAUGUGUGCGAUUAUUGCUUAUGUUUGGAAAUGAGUGAAUUGCAUUUUAAUGGGAAAAUAAAUCUUAAAUACUGUAACAGCCUCUUCCAGGCGUUCAGUUAGUUGGGGCUUAGCGCGAAAAACAGUGCGCGAAAACAUUAAAAAAAAAGCGCGGCUAGAGGAAGCGGGAUUUUUUGUAUUUUUUCGCGCGCUGUUUUUCGCGCUGCGCCCCAACUAACUGAACGCCUGGAAGAGGCUAAUACUGUAAUAAUUUAAAUGUGUGUUGAAUACGAAAACUACAGAAAACACUUCUGCGUGUGGAGGUGAAUAAAAUUAGUCUAGCUACAUUGGUUCAUUCGGUUUCUCAAAGUAUGAGGGUGAGUUGGAAUAGCCAUAAGGGUACCUAAUCAAAUUGCAACAUGAGAUUGCGAGUACUUUUAAGCUUUCACUUUGUUGCUGAGCUAAAAUUGUUAUUUGAAAUGCACAUAAUCUUUAAAGAAUACCCUGCCUUAGACUUAAAUUGAUAGUCUUGUAUACUUUGUCACGUUCGAUCCAAUUCGUGACGGCUUAUGCCUCGUUUGCCUCGAAGAGUGACGUGACAUGAUGGGUACCCUUUCCUUCUCCAUACUUAACCUUGGGUUGAAUACUUCGUAAUUUAUUUAUAGUUAAGAGUGCUGUCCUCCGACGACACCGGAAAGUUGUUGUUUAGUGUGAUGUAAGUAGUUACUCUCUUAUUUAUUGAGCGGGUUGUAAAUUCCAUUAAAAGAACCGAAGGCGAUGGAGAACUAUCAGAA